rnacentral:rRNA from 1 species
GACGAACCGUGCGAACGUUGUUCGGAUUCACUGGGCUUAAAGGGCGCGUAGGCGGGCGACCAAGUCGGGGGUGAAAUCUUUCGGCUCAACCGGAAGAGUGCCUUCGAUACUGGUCGCCUCGAGGGAGGUAGGGGCAUGCGGAACUUCCGGUGGAGCGGUGAAAUGCGUAGAUAUCGGAAGGAACGCCGGUGGCGAAAGCGGCGUGCUGGACCUCUUCUGACGCUGAGACACGAAAGCCAGGGGAGCGAACGGG